CAGUCGACGGUGAAGCAGAGCUUGCUCUGUGGAUCAGUGGCGAACGGGUGAGUAACACGUGAGCAAUCUGCCCCUGACUCUGGGAUAAGCGCUGGAAACGGCGUCUAAUACUGGAUACGAGCCGUGAAGGCAUCUUCAACGGUUGGAAAGAUUUUUCGGUCAGGGAUGAGCUCGCGGCCUAUCAGCUUGUUGGUGAGGUAAUGGCUCACCAAGGCGUCGACGGGUAGCCGGCCUGAGAGGGUGACCGGCCACACUGGGACUGAGACACGGCCCAGACUCCUACGGGAGGCAGCAGUGGGGAAUAUUGCACAAUGGGCGCAAGCCUGAUGCAGCAACGCCGCGUGAGGGAUGACGGCCUUCGGGUUGUAAACCUCUUUUAGCAGGGAAGAAGCGAAAGUGACGGUACCUGCAGAAAAAGCGCCGGCUAACUACGUGCCAGCAGCCGCGGUAAUACGUAGGGCGCAAGCGUUAUCCGGAAUUAUUGGGCGUAAAGAGCUCGUAGGCGGUUUGUCGCGUCUGCUGUGAAAUCCCGAGGCUCAACCUCGGGUCUGCAGUGGGUACGGGCAGACUAGAGUGCGGUAGGGGAGAUUGGAAUUCCUGGUGUAGCGGUGGAAUGCGCAGAUAUCAGGAGGAACACCGAUGGCGAAGGCAGAUCUCUGGGCCGUAACUGACGCUGAGGAGCGAAAGGGUGGGGAGCAAACAGGCUUAGAUACCCUGGUAGUCCACCCCGUAAACGUUGGGAACUAGUUGUGGGGUCCAUUCCACGGAUUCCGUGACGCAGCUAACGCAUUAAGUUCCCCGCCUGGGGAGUACGGCCGCAAGGCUAAAACUCAAAGGAAUUGACGGGGACCCGCACAAGCGGCGGAACAUGCGGGAUUAAUUCGAUGC
rnacentral:rRNA from 1 species